GCGCCUUGACUCUUACGCAGCACUCAGCCUUCACCCGGGUGUGCCCGGCCCCUCCCACGGCGGGAGGGAGAACCGGGGCAGCAGAGGCGGCCUGGGGUCCGAGAGGCACACCACACCCCCACCGCCUUCCUGGGGAGAAGCAGCCCUCCAUCUGCCCAGAGGAGCCUUCCCACGCCGCUCGGGGCAGCAAAGCGGAGGCUCCCGGGGCAGCCGGAAGCUACUGAACGCCCAGGGCGCGGGAGGUCCCGCCGACCCGCUUUCCAGGACCUCAGACGGCGGCCUCGGGAACACCGGAAAGCAGCCCGGCCCGAGCAGGUGACCACCACCCAGGCAAGAUGAAUAAUGCCAGGGUUUCCAUUGCCCCCUCUGAGCCGUGUCCCACCCCUGGAAGUCGCUACUACCUUGACUUCUAGCUGUUCCCAGAAUUUCACAUCAUUGAAACCACAUGAACAAGAGCACGGCUCUGGCGCCCAAGGCUCAGCUCUGCUGUGUGAACUGGGGACUCGCCUGCCUCUCGGGCCACAGCUCGGGGGCAGUUAGUGAGGUGACCCUCACGUGCCUCUGCCCUGCAAUCCCUGAAACCUCAGCUGCACCGGCCGCUGCGCCACCCAGGCUGCCCCCAGGGCAUGGCCCGGCCUCCAGCUCCUCUCGCAGCCGCAGCCGGGCCCUACGGUGCCUCGGUUCCCCCACCACGCCUCCUCCUGCAGGGUUUGCUGCAGCCUUGGAGCCGUCGCACCAUCCUGCUGAGCCUCCGUUUCCUCCUCUGGAACAGCAGGAAUGGCCCCAGCUGUUUGGGCUUCUUUUCUUAACCAAACAGGCUUCUCUCGUCCUCUGGCUUUAAUAAGGUGUGAUUUACAUGCAAUGAAAUCCCCCCAGUCAAUGUAACCCCGCCUCAGUGGCGGCCGGCCUGUGUGUGUCACGGCAGUGUGCCUUUGCCAGGGAAUCAGAUGGAUGUCACCUUUUAGCCUGGCUUCUUGGACUUGGCCUCAUGCACUGGACACUAGCCCACGUUGUUGCCUGUGCCUGUAGUUCGUUCCCUUUUCACGGCUGAGUGGUAUUCCAUUGGCCAGUGUUCCAUAACUGGUUUUUCCAUCCUCAAAAUUCAUGGACUUUUGAGUUCUUUGUUUUACUUAGAAUAAAUCUAUACAUAUUUGCAUACA